CCUACGGGUGGCAGCAGUGAGGAAUAUUGGUCAAUGGGCGCAAGCCUGAACCAGCCAUGCCGCGUGCAGGAUGACGGCUCUAUGGUUUGUAAACUUCUUUUAUACGGGGGUAAACUGCGAGACGCGUCCCGCUUCGCAUGUACCUUAUGAAUAAGGAUCGGCUAACUCCGUGCCAGCAGCCGCGGUAAUACGGAGGAUCCGAGCGUUAUCCGGAUUUAUUGGGUUUAAGGGGUGCGUAGGCGGCCUGUUAAGUCAGAGGUGAAAGGCUGGGGCUCAACCAUAGAAUUGCCGUUGAUACUGUUGGGCUAGAGUAUGGUUGAGGCAGGCGGAAUGCAUGGUGUAGCGGUGAAAUGCUUAGAGAUCAAGCAGAACACCGAUUGCGAAGGCAGCCUGCCAAACCAUAACUGACGCUGAUGCACGAAAGCGUGGGGAGCAAACAGGAUUAGAUACCCGAGUAGUC
rnacentral:rRNA from 1 species